UACAGAGGUCUCAAGCGUUGUUCGGAUUCAUUGGGCGUAAAGGGUGCGUAGGUGGCAUGGUAAGUUAUCAGUGGUAAAUCGAGGCCCAACCUCGUGGAAACUGGCAAUACUGCUUGGCUUGAGUGCAGGAGAGGUUAACGGAACUCUAUGUGGAGCGGUAAAAUGCACAGAUAUAUAGAAGAACAUCAAUAACGGCGAAGGCAGUUAACUAUUCUGUUACUGACACUGAGGCACGAAAGCGUGGGGAGCAAAACGG
rnacentral:rRNA from 1 species